rnacentral:rRNA from 1 species
GACGGAGGAUGCAAGCGUUAUCCGGAAUUAUUGGGCGUAAAGCGUCCGCAGGUGGCUGUUCAAGUCUGCUGUCAAAGCGCAGAGCUUAACUCUGUACAGGCGGUGGAAACUGAAGAGCUAGGGUAUGGUAGGGGUAGAGGGAAUUCCCGGUGUAGCGGUGAAAUGCGUAGAUAUCGGGAAGAACACCAGUGGCGAAAGCGCUCUACUGGGCCAUAACUGACACUGAGGGACGAAAGCUAGGGGAGCGAAAGGG